AGAAGAAAAUAGAAAACAAAAAAUAAAAUAAAAUCCCAAGAGAAUCAACAAAAAAAGAAAACAAUAUCACCAUGAGCAUCCUUCCACUUCCCCCCUUCGGAACAGCCUGCGUGAUGGUGGCGGCUGUUCUGUUUACGUUCCCGCCUCCCCUCCUCGCGGGACUCGGCAAGAGUGCUGUUUGGUUAACGCGAAAGAAUCUUCAUUCUCUGGGGCUCAAUAAUUUCACUAGGAUUCAUCCUAAGAAUCUCAGGUACAACGAGACGACGACGCUCCGGGUGGCGGUGGAGCAGUGGAUUCCCCACGUCGAGGUCACCGCCUAUCUGGACGGCUCCUUUCGCAUACGGGGUCCCCUGGCCAAUCUCCUGGAUCUCCUGGCGUCGACGCUCAAUUUCAAUUAUACCCUGGUCCGCCCCCCCGACGGAGCGUGGGGCGCCCCCAAUAGCGAUGGCGACUGGAAUGGUAUGCUGGGUAUGAUUCAGCGCAACGAGGUGGACCUCGCCCUUGGCCCCUUCGGCCUGACGGAGUCCCGCGCCAAGGUGGCCCAGUUCUCCCAGCCCAUCAUGAUUGACUACUACCGCAUCCUGGUGAAGAGGGGAAGCCCCGAGAUCAAUCCCUGGGGGUUCCUCAAUCCCCUGGGUCCUACCGUGUGGCUGGGGACGAUGCUGGGGAUGCUGGUGCUGUCUCUGCUGCUGAGCGUGGGCGUGGUGAGUCUGGUAAAGCUGAGGGACGGCCCCCAGGACAAGUGGACGACGGCGAGGCUCGUCCUCAACCAGUUCUGGGACCAGUUCGCGACGGUGUGCCAGCAGAACCUCAUCUACAUCUACGACGCCGUAGCCACACGCAUGAUGGUGGGCAUGUGGCUCCUCGGGGUUAUGGUGAUCAUGAAAAGCUUCUCGUCCGCGCUCACCUCCCUCCUCGCCGUCAGGAACAUCCCCGUCAGGAUAGACUACCUGAGGGACCUGGUGGACGACAGGAGUUUCCAGCUGGUGUUCGAGACGUCUACGGCCCUCACUGCCACUAUGGAGCAAGCAACGAGCGGCAUCUACCAAGAGCUCCGGGGCGUGGCUGCCAGAGGACGCGUGAAUUUCCUGAAGGCGAGUGACCUUUUCGACGUGGCCUUCAGCUCGGUGCGAGAAGGGGGCGUGGCACUUCUGGUCGAGGACGCCACCAUCAGGAAAAUCAUUUCGGAUGACUUCUCGCUGAAAGGUACCUGCGAUUACUACAUAGGCAAAGAGUCGUAUUAUCCCCUUAUUUUCUGCAUCGUGGGAGUCCCUGGUUUACCCAUUAUGCCGGCUAUCAACUACAGGAUCCAGUCUCUGGUUGAGCACGACCUGUACAGCGAGUGGGUGGCUAACUUACUCCCCAAUGCAACUUCCUGUCUGAGAGCUCCCUCUUCUAUCACCGUUAAUGAGCCUUAUACUAUGGAGGGGCUUUGGGGAAUCUUCGUGGUGCUCGGCGUAGGACUCUCCAUCUCGGCCCUUGUGUUCGUCGUGGAGGUCGUGAUCCACAGGAAGGGCUUCGGCAAAGGGCCCGGCCUCCCUGCUCCCAAAAUAGACAUCGUGUACCCGAUGCCCAAAGCCUUGCUACAUGAACUGUACGCCACCUCAACGCCCUUCCUCAGCAAAUGGCCCUCAGUCUCCCAGGGUUCCUCACGCCCUUCCCACCUGACUCGAGGGGCGGAGCAGAGUCCUUGGCAUGCUGGCAGUCCCAUUGUUGUCACUCUCCAGCCUCUUGCUGUCACUAAAGAGGUCACGCCCCUUGGUAGAGCGGAGGGCGGUGACACCCCGAAAGACGGGAAGGACCACCAGCUCCGUCGACGCCGUCUUUCGCUGGCUGAGGAGGAUCCACCCAGCCCUGAUUUCGAUUCCCGCCAGCUAGGACAGGACAAAGUUGUCGUACUGUGGUGAAUCAACACGCACGGCGGGUAGUCCUGGGAACUCAAUCGCACACACCCCGUCGUCUUUUCCGCUCACACACACACACACACACACACACGACGCCGUCCCAUGACCCCGCACUAACAGAGGCUCGUCUUGUGACAGCUAGUCCUCAACACAGCAUGAAGUCGUCUUUUCUUGUAUCUCUGCACUGCCCACUGUCCCUCGGCUUCAAAUACACAAGAGUCAGAGGACAAUCAUACAGACCUGUAAAGCACAAGUAACAUAAGUGAAUGCAUUGCAUGAAUUAAUUUACUUAAAAGGCUUUCAUCACGUGCACACCUACAAUGCUUGAGCUAUGGCUGUUGCUGCAUCAUCCAAAUAGCUUCGGCUAUUUUGUAACAAUAAAACUACUAAUAAUUAAUAUAACAAUAAUAAUAGCGAUAAUGACAUAAUAAAACACUGCACAUAACUGAUGAUUCAUUUUGUAAAAUGAGCACAAUGAUAUUUAUAAUAAUACCUGUCUAUCUUGUUAAAUGAAUAACAAAAACGAACGAUAAAACUAAAACGAUUAAUAAAAAAGACAUUGUUAUAAAGCAGGAAAAAGGUGAUACUAAAUUAAUAAAAGAUACGUACGCAUAAAAUAAGUACCUAAAUACAUAUGCUGCUUUCCCUUAUAUGUAAAGUCUCCGGAAAGUAUAACAAUCUUUAUAUAAAGCUUACUCCAGUACACCAAAAAAAACAUCAAAGCUAGGAGCAUGGCUACUGCACACGAAUUCGGAAACCCCAAGCCACUCGAGGAAAAGAAUAUUCACACACUUGGUCACCCGAUUACACUGAGUUCAUAUAACUUGUUUAUUCCUGUGCAGAGAGAGCAGAUCAGGUCAACCCAAGCUCCCUCUCGGGCAGUUGCCACGGCGGAGUCAGUGGCAAGUGUGCAUCCUGACGAAACUCAGGAAUUUACUGAAGUUACCUGGAGUCGGGUGGCAGACGACCGCCAGCAGAUUCUCAGCGAUGA